rnacentral:rRNA from 1 species
CAAUAGCGUAUAUUAAAGUUGUUGCAGUUAAAAAGCUCGUAGUUGAAUUUCGGGUCCCCGCGCUCGGCGCUUCGUUGUGCCGUCGUGGUGUCCCUCCUCGCCGUAAGGCGUCCUUUACUGUGAAAAAAUUAGAGUGUUCAAAGCAGGCAAUCGCUUGAAUACAUUAGCAUGGAAUAAUAAGAUAGGAUCUUGUCUAUUUUGUUGGUUGCGGACAACGAUAAUGAUUAAUAGGGAUAGUUGGGGGUGUCCGUAUUGAGCUGUCAGAGGUGAAAUUCUUGGAUUUGCUCAAGACGAACUACUGCGAAAGCAUUCACCAAGGAUGUUUUCAUUAA